rnacentral:lncRNA from 1 species
AUGUCAGUCAUGUAUCUUCGUGUCAUUUCUCUAGAAACAAUGGAUUCCUUGAUAGGGCUGAAUUUGAAGUUGUCUAGGUCAUAGGGGGUGGAUAGUGAGUUGGUGAUUGAGAGGUUUUGUGGGGUGGAUUUGAUAGGUUGGAAUGAUUUUGAGAUGAUUUGGGAGCCAUGGAAGGAGGACUUGUUGUCGAGGAAAGAUUGUUUUGUGGUAGAAGAAAGAGAAGAGGUCAAGGUUGUAGCCAUGGUUGCCAUUAGAUAUAGUAGUCUUAAUGAGUUGAGUUGCUGGUUG